GGAGUAUUAAUGUUACGAGGCAGAGAGCCAGCUGCUAAAUGAGUCACGUUAACUUCAUGCUUCAUCCACACAGAGCAUGUUACUAUCGCCACUAGUGGCGGAUUUCUUUGGCU